CAGGGAGACAAUAAAUUGAUUGUGAUGUCUAAGUUAUUUAUUCUUAGGCCGCAAUCCUGUCACCUUAAGGUCGAUCGGUACCUCAGAUUUUUGAAUUAGUUUUAUAAUUGAUUCUUUGAUUUCAGUUCCUAAACUUGUCUAGGUCACACCCAACAAAGGUUUCUCCUGGGCCAUUAGCUCAGGUGGUUAGAGCGCACCCCUGAUAAGGGUGAGGUCCCUGGUUCAAGUCCAGGAUGGCCCAUUCGUUGUUGGGGGUAUAGCUCAGUUGGUAGAGCGCCUGCUUUGCAAGCAGGAUGUCAGCGGUUCGAGUCCGCUUACCUCCACUGAAAACUAUCCUGAUAACUAAAUUCUGGAGAAAAAUUGUAGAUGUGGCUUAGAAUUGUCUAUUUGAAUAGAACCUAACUUCUUGUCAUCUUUUUAUAGUUGAUAACCAUGCUGGGCUCGCAUGGAUUAUUUCCAUGAGAAUUCAGUAGAACCUUGAAAACUGCAUAGAUUUAGAAAGAAUAAAGCAUCUCAUGGAUGCAUAAUUCUGAUUUUAUAAUUUAGCCUUAAAACUAAAUUAUUUAAUUCUAGAAUUCAUGUUUAAUUCUUGAGUAGAAGCCGAGCACAAUUGAUUUUGUGAUUGUAUUUAA
rnacentral:tRNA from 1 species